GCAAUGCCGUCUGCGCUCCGUCCACUGAAAAGCUCUGCUCAGAGAUGUCAGUCAGUGCCCUGGGCCGGCCACCCCCCUGCUCUGCUGGAUGUCGGGAGAAUGUAUUACUGAGAGAGAAGAGAAACACUCUGAAUGGAGCAUGAUUAUUUUCAGAUCUCCAUUUUGCUGAUGGCUUGAGCAAGCCCAGGCCCUCAAAAUAGGCUGAAUGAAAAGAGGUGUGAUCGAUGAAAACUGGCCGCUCCUUCUUUGCAACUCCUUCCAUUAGGUGGUGGAGUCUACGUUGCCCUCCCUUUGAUCCAGGCUGGCCACACAAAUUACUUUCACCAACAGAAUGCUGUAGAAGUGAUACUGCAUGACCUCUGAGCCCAGGCCUUAAGGGACUUUGCAGCUUCUGUUCUUGGCCUCUGGCUGCUCUGUGACUACCAUGGAAGGAGUUCCACACUAACCUCCUGUAGGGUAAGAGACACGUGGAGGCAGACUGAGCCUCCCAGCCAUCCCACUGAGGCUCCAGGCGUGCCAGUGAUGUACCUGGCUGAAGCCUGGCCCCCAGUCACCCACUGACGGCAGCUGCAAAGGUGCCCGUGAUGAGACAAGAAGACCAAGGCUCAGGGAGGUUAUGCAAUGAGUCACCAGCAAGGACGUGCCAGAGCUGAGAUGCAAACCAGGUCCUCGAGUUCCUGCUCUUGUGCCCUUUCCAGCACCUCUGCUCUCUCUUGGAAGCUGCCGGGGCGAGGCUCAGGCUGUGGCUGGUCCAUCCUAUGCUGGACCAAGUUGUCCCUAACCCUCCAGGGCUCUCUCACAUCUGGGGAAAGAUCUGUGGGCUUCUGGACAGCAUUUCAUUUGGCUACGUCUUGUGCUUGUGGCACUAUGCGGGGCCUCUGGGGAACUUCUUUUGCUCACCAUAUUUCCUCAUUUCCCGACCUGUCCCCUGCACAGCCAGGUUCCCUUUGAAAUGCCAUCUGGAGCAGCAAUGGCCCCCAGACAGGCCGGCUAAGCAGCAGGGCAGCCACUCCCCAGAGCAAGCCUGGUGGCCGAGCCGGUGUGGGCAAAACAAGAAGACUCUUUCUGCUUCUGAAUGAUCUGGCCCUGCUGCCAUGGGGUCCUUUAUAAACUCUCUCCUGAGUUA
ensembl:lncRNA novel transcript